GACGAACGCUGGCGGCGUGCCUAAUACAUGCAAGUCGAACGCAGUGGGGAAUGGUGGGUAACACGUGGGUAACCUCCCAUAAGCGGGGAUAACAUUUGGAAACCGGUGCUAAACCGAUACUGAUGGAUGGACCAUGGGUGCAUUAGCUAGUUGGUGAGGUAACGGCUCACCAAGGCCACGAUCCAUAGCCGGCCUGAGAGGGGGAUCGGCCACACUGGGACUGAGACACGGCCCAGACGCCUACGGGAGGCAGCAGUGGGGAAUAUUGGACAAUGGACGAAAGUCUGACGGAGCAACGCCGCGUGAGUGAAGAAGGUCUUAGGAUUGUAAAACACUUUCGUUAGAGAAGCGGUAUCUAAACAAGAAGCAACGGCUAACUCCGUGCCAGCAGCCGCGGUAAUUC
rnacentral:rRNA from 1 species